rnacentral:lncRNA from 1 species
AGCAAUGCACCUAUUCACAUGGAGAAUCUUCCCUUUCCUCUAAAAUUACUUAGUCCCUCAUCGCUAAACACCCCCAGCUCCACACCAUGGGUGUUGGAUAUCUUCCUCACCUUGGUGUUUGCCCUGGGGUUCUUCUUCCUAUUACUCCCCUACUUAUCUUACCUCCAUUGUGACGAUCCACCCUCACCAUCGCCUGGGAAGAGAAAGUGUCAUCUUGUCUCCUCGCGUCAUCUUGUCUCCCAGUGUCCAGUAGGGCAGAGGGGGAUGCCCAGAGGCAGGAUGAAAAACCACAGUCUUCAGAGCUUGUAGAGAGUGCCUGAGAGGCCUGGAGGAGACUUGGGACCUGCUUUCACAACUGCAGAGAUGUGGCUUACCAGUGGAUUCUAGAGAAGAAAGUAGACAGGAGCAAGUGCCCAACACAGCAAAAGCUGGAAAGAAAAAGAAAGGAUUAUGUUCUCUACCCAAAACAUUUCAGUUAACUAAGUGUGAGUUUAAAAUCUAAAGAGAACGUUAUCAGAGUUAUUAAGAAUGAGAAAUAUGUACGUACAAUUACAAUACAAAAUUACUAUUAAAUAAUUAACACAUGG